rnacentral:rRNA from 1 species
CCAGACUCCUACGGGAGGCAGCAGUGGGGGAUAUUGCACAAUGGGGGGAACCCUGAUGCAGCGACGCCGCGUGAACGAAGAAAUAUUUCGGUAUGUAAAGUUCUAUCAGCAGGGAAGAAAAUGACAGUACCUGACCAAGAAGCCCCGGCUAACUACGUGCCAGCAGCCGCGGUAAUGCGUAGGGGGCAAGCGUUAUCCGGAUUUACUGGGUGUAAAGGGAGCGUAGACGGUGAAGCAAGUCUGAAGUGAAAGGCGGGGGCUCAACCCCCGGACUGCUUUGGAAACUGUUUGACUGGAGUGCAGGAGAGGUAGGUGGAAUUCCUAGUGUAGCGGUGAAAUGCGUAGAUAUUAGGAGGAACACCAGUGGCGAAGGCGGCUUACUGGACUGUAACUGACGUUGAGGCUCGAAAGCGUGGGGAGCAAACAGGAUUAGAUACCCCAGUAGCC